rnacentral:rRNA from 1 species
UACGUAGGGACCGAGCGUUGUCCGGAAUCAUUGGGCGUAAAGAGCGUGUAGGCGGCCACUUAAGUCCUGCGUGAAAUCUUGCGGCUCAACCGCAAGCGGUCGUGGGAAACUGGGUGGCUAGAGUGCGGGAGAGGAGAGUGGAAUUCCUGGUGUAGCGGUGGAAUGCGCAGAUAUCAGGAAGAACACCCGUGGCGAAGGCGGUUCUCUGGGCAUGUCCUGACGCUGAGGAGCGAAAGUGUGGGGAGCGAACAGG